rnacentral:lncRNA from 1 species
GAACAUCUAAAGAUCCAAAGCAGGAAAGAAAAUAUCUCUGCCUGAAGCAAACCCAGAAAGGGAUAUAGAAGGAGACAACAUGAGAACAAAGAUGAGAAAUACAACAAUAUGGUGAAAUCUUGUUAAUUGGAAUUAAUGGGCUAGAAGCCUUCCUAAAUAUAUUGAACACUUAAAAAGUUUGCUAAAUUUAUAUACUACUUUAAAGUGUAAGUUUAUGAGAAAAAAAAAAGUGUAAGUGAUGAAUAAAUCUCACCCGUGUUGCUUUCUGGAUUUUGUUUUGUGGUAUAAAGUAUCAAACUCCAGGCCUCCUACAAUGUAGGCAGGUGUUGUGAUUAGUACGCCUCUGGGUAUACCUAAGAAGGAGCAUGUAAAUGACCGACCUUCAGUGUGAAUAGCUCUAUUCCAUGGGCUUCACUGAAUAAGGAGACAGUUAGCUGAGCAUUAGCUGUCAUUGUUCUCUAUACUCUGACCUUGAACACGAUGUGGCCAGCUGCUUCCCAGUAACUACCCAGCUUUCCCUACCAUGGCUGGACUUGUAAGCCAGAACAAGCCCUCUCUCCCUUAAGCUAGUUUGGUCAGGUAUUUUGUCGUAGCAUCAAGACUGUUAACCAAUACAAGUUUCUAUCACUGACUUACAUCCUUGGCACAUUUUUAUUUUCACUCUGACACAGGUCUUGCUAUAUUUAGUGCAGUGUGCCCUCAAGCUGAAGGUUCUAUGUCUGCUUCCAGAGUAGCUUGGAAACACCAUACUGCUCCCCACCCUGGGCCUAUUCUCUUAAAAAACAAGGAAAUUCUUAUGAUGUGAUUAAUCUAGUGCUGGUGUGGAAAAUAGAGAAUAGUGAAUUUGCUGAGCAUUGGAUAUGUGGGUGCAAGUGAGACUCAUGGGAUAUAGGGAUGAGAGUGAACAUAUUCAUACAUAUUCAUCCUCUUAAACCACAAAAGACAAGAAGCUGUUUCUCAUUUCCUUAGUUGGUAUCAUUUGUGGAGUUCUUUAAAGGAUAUAUAUUAUCAAAUCUGGUCAUGAACGUCUAGAACAGUUCUUAUCCCAAUUUUCUAGUUGCAGAAACUGGAACAGAAAGACUGAUUACUUUAGGUGAUACAUAAAGCAAGAAACAAGUUGGACCCAAAUGCAGGGUAACAACUCAUCCUGUUUCGUUUGGUUUUUAUCUUUCAAUAUACUAAGUGGACUCAUCAAUAACAUACUAACUUCAGAUAAGAAGAAAACGUUGGGGAUGAAUAGGGAAAGUUUGAUAAGGAAAAAUUGUACAAGAAAAGUUAAUAGUUACAAGAAGUAACUGACAAGACUGCCAUUUCACAAUCAUGAAGAGGUUGAAAGAUGGGUGUUUGGUUUUAGUUUAAAGAACAGGAUAAUUGAGAUGUCCUUGUUUAGGCAUCGGACUAAAAAUCCUAAAGAACAAAUCCUAAAGAACAAAUAUAUUUGCAAAUCAUCUGUGUGUGUAGAUGGUAAUUACUCAUUGUGUCUUUAUUGCUUUCUGCAUACAGUCUAGAACAAUGGGGUCUAGUAAACACUGUAACAGUAGUUUCUCAUUCAUGUUUUAAUAUGGGGCGGGGGCACUGUGUUUGAAGGCAUGAACUACAUGCAGCAGUUCUAGGAUCUGUACUGCUUGCCUACCAUAUGACUCAAGUAUGCUACUUAGCUGCUGAGGCUCCGUUUUUUCAUAUAUAAAAGGGACGGCAACAACUCUAUCCUCACAGAACUGCUGUGAGAAGUAAAUUUGCUAAAAACAUUUAGGAUCCUUAAAAAUAUUUUUGUUUAGUAUGUUAAGUGUUAUGGAUUGUGCCUAUGCUUAGAAACUAUCACUUUAAGAACAUUAUAUAUUAGGGUGCCCAGUUGACAUCUGCACAUAUGCCAGAAUCAGAUGAGGGAUACUGAACCUUUGUUAGUUCCAUGGUUCUGCAACAUUGAGAAUACCAUAUAAAAGGCUGUUCCUCCUGAAAGCAACGAGGUGAACUUUGACAAUAUAUUAUGCCCUUCUGGUUAUCAUCUUUCAUGAUUUAAUUCAUAAUAAUGAAAUAUAAUUUGCUACUUUUAAAAGUUAACUCUAGUCAGGUACUUUGAAUCCCAGCACUGUGGAGGUAGGGGCAGGAAGAUAUCUCUGAGUUCAAGACUAUCCUAGUCUACAGAGUGAGUUCCAGGACAACCAAGGAUUCAACUAGACCCUGUCUCAAAAAAAAAAAAAAAAAAAAAAAGUUAACUCUAUAAAAUUCCUUUGCAGAUUAGUUUCUUCUGCAUUCAAAAAGCCUUUUUAAUAUAUGGAAAUAGUCUCUAAACAUAAAGUAGAAUCAGAACUCUCUAAAAAUGGAAAUAAGCACAAAAGUUAUGUUCAAAAGUAAAUAUGAAUUGUGUACAGAAUGGUUUUCUGCUGGUGAUGUAGGGAAUUAUUGUAAAAAUGAGGGUAAGGAAAGAUUGUAAUAUCCUAUCCUAUGACUCAGUUUUUAUAUUAUUAGU